rnacentral:rRNA from 1 species
UACGUAGGGGGCGAGCGUUGUCCGGAAUUACUGGGCGUAAAGGGCGCGUAGGCGGCAUAUUAAGUUAGAUGUGAAAUUCCCGGGCUUAACUUGGGCAUUGCAUUUAAAACUGAUAAGCUUGAGUGCAGGAGAGGAAAGUGGAAUUCCUAGUGUAGCGGUGAAAUGCGUAGAUAUUAGGAGGAACAUCGGUGGCGAAGGCGACUGUCUGGUCUGUAACUGACACUGAGGCGCGAAAGCGUGGGGAGCAAACAGG